rnacentral:rRNA from 1 species
CUCUGAUGAUUCAUGAUAACUCGACGGAUCGCAUAGCUUUGACGCUGGCGACGCAUCAUUCAAAUUUCUGCCCUAUCAACUUUCGAUGUAGGAUAUGGCUUACCAUGGUGGUGACGGGUGACGGAGAAUUAGGGUUCGAUUCCCGGAGAGGGAGCCUGAGAAACGGCUACCACAUCCAAGGAAGGCAGCAGGCGCGCAAUUACCCAAUCCUGAACGGCGGAGGUAAAGUGACAAUAAAUAACAAUUACCGGGGCUAGGAGUCUGGUAAUUGGAAUGAGUACAAUCUAAAUCCCUAACGAGGAUCCAUUGGAGGGCAAGUCUGGUGCCAGCAGCCGCGUAAAUUCCAGCUCCAAUAGCGAUAUUUAAGUUGUUGCAGUUUAAAAAGCUCGUAGUUGGACCUUGGGAUGGGGCGACCGGUCCGCCUCCGGCGAGCACCGAUCGUCUCGUCCCUUCUGCCGGCGAUGCGCUCCUGGCCUUAAUUGGCCGGGUCGUGGCCUCCGGCGCUGUUACUUUGAAGAAAUUAGAGUGCUCAAAGCAGGCCUAAGCUCUGGAUACAUUAGCAUGGGAUAACAUCAUAGGAUUCCGGUCUAUUGUGUUGCCUUCGGGAUCGGAGUAAUGAUUAACAGGGACAGUCGGGGCAUUCGUAUUUCAUAGUCAGAGGUGAAAAUUCUUGAUUUAUGAAAGACGAACAACUGCGAAAGCAUUUGCCAAGGAUGUUUUCAUUAAUCCAGAAACGAAAGUUGGGGGCUCGAAGACGAUUCAGAUACCGUCCUAGUCUCAACCAUAAACGAUGCCGACAGGGAUCGGCGGAUGUUACUCUUAGGACGCCGCCGGCACCUAUGAGAAAUCAAAGUUUUUGGGUUCCGGGGGGAGUAUGGUCGACAGGCUGAAACUUAAAGGAAUUGACGGAAGGGCGCCCCACAAAAAGGGGGUUGAGGUGAUCGGAGCCGGAGAAUGUGCAGACUGUCUGCAGAAAAAUAUCAAGGCCAGCCAUGCUUUUAAUGGGCUUCGUGCUACGUCGACUGCAAGCUUGCAAACGGAGAGAUACAAACAAUUGGAACGCAAAGCUUGACAGAAGGGGAGUUUAGAGUAACUCUUCCUGAAGGGAUUGUACAAGAAGAUGGAAAUCUCAAGGAAAAAGAAUGCUUUGCCCAAACUUCACAGUGGAAAAGACGCGCCGUGUCCAAUUCAGAAUAGCAUGAGUCCUCCAAAAUUAUCAUCAGUCCAAAACUGAUGACGGCAAGCACACCCUUGUUUACCGCCGGUUUUCUUCCACCGCCAAAGCCGCCGGUUGUUCUUCCACCACAAGCCGCCGGUGGUUCUUCCACCACCAGUGCCAGUGUAUCCGAAGCCCUUCCUCCUCCUCUCCCAUAUCACAAGCCUCUUCCUCCUUACCCAUACCACAACAAGCCUUUUCCUCCUUACCCAUACACAGCCUCUCCUCCUUACCCUUACCACAAGCCUCUUCCGCCAUUCCAUAUCACAA